rnacentral:rRNA from 1 species
ACAGAGGUCCCAAGCGUUGUUCGGAUUCACUGGGCGUAAAGGGUGCGUAGGUGGCUUGGUAAGUUCGAUGUGAAAUCUCCGGGCUUAACCCGGAAAUGGCAUUGAAUACUAUUGAGCUGGAGGUUUGGAGGGGGGACUGGAAUUCUCGGUGUAGCAGUGAAAUGCGUAGAUAUCGAGAGGAACACCAGUGGCGAAGGCGAGUCCCUGGACAACACCUGACACUGAGGCACGAAAGCUAGGGGAGCAAACAGGAUUAGAUACCCUGGUAGUCCUAGCUGUAAACGGUGCAUAUUUGCUGUAAAAGGAAUCGACCCCUUUUGUGGCGAAGCUAACGCGAUAAAUAUGCCGCCUGGGAAGUACGGUCGCAAGAUUA